UAUUAUUUUUUAUAAUUUAAAUUAAAUAUAAUUAUAAUUUUAUUUUAAAAAGUUAAUUAAAAUGGCAGUAUUUUAUAAAAUUAGAGGAUUUUGUUAUUUAAUAGAUAUUACACUUUAUAAUAUAUUUAUUUUUUUUGUAUUGUAUAUUGUUGUAUUAAAUUAAUAUAUUAAUUAUUAAUUAAUUUAUUUUUUUUGUAUUUUAAAAAUUAAUUCAAAUAAAUAUGCAUAUCAUAAUUAAACUAUAAAUGAAAUACAAUUGAUUUAAAUUAAUGGAUUUAAAAUUGAAAUAUUUUUUUUAAAUAGGAUUUAAAAUUAAAAUUUAAUAUAUAUUAAAUUUGAAUAAUUUUUAAAAUAUGUACAUAUUGCCCGUCGUUUUUAAAUUUUAUUAAAAUAA
rnacentral:rRNA from 1 species